AUGGGGCGGCUGCCUGCUGCGUCGCGGCGUCUCGCGGCGGUGGCGGUGGCGAUUUUGUUGCUGGUCAUCGCGUCGGCGGCGGGGGCGGCGGAGGAGCGCGGGCAGAGGGGUGUGGCCGUGCGGCAGGGCGAUGGGCGGGGCAGCCACCACCGGCACGCGUACGCGGCGAUGAUGUACAUGGGGACGCCGCGGGACUACGAGUUCUACGUGGCGGUGCGCGUGAUGAUGCGCUCCCUCUCCAGGGUCGGCGCCGACGCCGACCGCGUCCUCAUCGCCUCCUCCGACGUGCCCCUCGACUGGGUCCGCGCAAUGAGGGAGGAGGAUGGCAUGAGGGUGGUGGUUGUCGAGAACCUGAAGAAUCCUUACGAGGGCAACCUUGGAGGAAUGAACAGGAGGUUUAAGCUGACACUGAACAAGCUCUACGCAUGGAGCUUGGUUGACUACGAGCGUGUCGUCAUGAUCGACUCCGACAACAUCUUCCUCCAGAACACCGAUGAGCUCUUCCAGUGCGGCCAGUUCUGUGCUGUUUUCAUCAAUCCAUGCUACUUCCACACCGGCCUUUUCGUGCUCCAGCCUUCUAUGGAUGUGUUUAAUGGCAUGCUUCAUGACCUGGAGAUUGGCCGUGACAACUCUGACGGUGCAGACCAAGGCUUCCUAGUCGGCUGCUUCCCAGACUUGUUGGACAAACCAUUGUUCCACCCUCCUGAAAAUGGCACCAAACUCAACGGAACAUAUCGCCUUCCUCUCGGCUAUCAGAUGGACGCAUCAUACUACUGUGAGCAUCUCUGCGCUUCGGCUCCAUUCUCUAACGUUCGUAUGGUUGCUUCCAAAGAUAUUUACCGACAUUUUACUGAAAUAUUGCAGAUCUUAAACUCCAUUGGCAUGUUCCAUGUUGGGCCUAACAGCGUGAUCACAUUCCCCAGUGCCCCUUGGUUUAAACCCUGGUACUGGUGGUCCUGGCCAAUCUUGCCACUGGGCCUUUCCUGGCACAAGCAACGCUGGGAUGAUCUUGGUUAUGCUGCUGAAAUUCCUGUGGUCCUCAUGGAGCUGCUAAUGUACAUAGCGAUCAUAGCCAUCACCAGAUUGGCAAGGCCACAGAUGACAAAACUGUGCUAUAAUCGGCGACCUGAGAAACAAGGUGCCCUGGUGCAGUGGCUAAUCAAGCUGGCCGGUAUUGUGGCCAUGGUGGCCGCAUAUACAAUCCCGUUCUUUGUAAUCCCAUGCACAGUUCAUCCCAUCAUGGGUUGGUCCAUGUACCUGUUUGGUGUCCUCGCCUUCUCAUCGGUCGUGAUCAAUGCAUUCCUGCUCCCACCGCUUGCCGUGCUCACUGCAUGGCUUGGGAUUGUUGGGAUGCUCUUUGUCAUGGCAUUCCCAUGGUACCAUGACGGCAUCGCGAGGAUUCUGGUGGUCGUCGCCUAUGCGUUUUGCUCUGCACCAUUCCUGUGGGCAUCUGUCGUAAGGGUGAUGGACUCAUUGCAAACAAUGCUUGAGAGGGAUCCACACUUCCCCCGGCUCGGUGACCCGGCACCUGAGACUGAAUUUAGCAAACUGUACUGA
rnacentral:rRNA from 1 species